AGUGAACGCUGGCGGUAGGCCUAACACAUGCAAGUCGAACGGCAGCACAGGAGAGCUUGCUCUCUGGGUGGCGAGUGGCGGACGGGUGAGGAAUACAUCGGAAUCUACUCUGUCGUGGGGGAUAACGUAGGGAAACUUACGCUAAUACCGCAUACGACCUACGGGUGAAAGAAUGGGACCUUCGGGCCGUGCGCGAAUGAAUGAGCCGAUGUCGGAUUAGCUAGUUGGCGGGGGAAAGGCCCACCAAGGCGACGAUCCGUAGCUGGUCUGAGAGGAUGAUCAGCCACACUGGAACUGAGACACGGUCCAGACUCCUACGGGAGGCAGCAGUGGGGAAUAUUGGACAAUGGGCGCAAGCCUGAUCCAGCCAUACCGCGUGGGUGAAGAAGGCCUUCGGGUUGUAAAGCCCUUUUGUUGGGAAAGAAAUCCAGCUGGCUAAUACCCGGUUGGGAUGACGGUACCCAAAGAAUAAGCACCGGCUAACUUCGUGCCAGCCGCCGCAGUAA
rnacentral:rRNA from 1 species